rnacentral:tRNA from 1 species
GGAGUGGUGCUCGAGUGGCUGAAGAGGCACGCCUGGAAAGCGUGUGUGCGCCAAAAGCGUACCGCGAGUUCGAAUCUCGCCCACUCCG